GCUGCAACCAAUGAAAACAAUGCUGAUGUGAACGGCGGGUGUCUCCACGGAAAGGGACCAAAUGGACCCAGGGCGGCCUCAGUCGAUCUCCGCACGAAUGAGUUCUGGAAGAGUGCAGCAUGGGUGGCCUCUCAUAGGCUAAUUUAUCCUUACUCGCAUCCCCUCUGCACCAAGGGUGCUGGAAAAGGCAGAGAGUGACCGCAACCAAAUGCUAUCUUGUCAGACAUAUAGAAUGAUUAACUGCCUGAGUGGGUAAGGAGGUGCCUGGAAGAAAUACCAGCGCUGGAUUUCCUGCUUGUCCUCAUGCCGUAUAUGCUGCCAAGCUACUCCAAAGUGAAAAUGGCAAUUUCCUUUACAAAUUACUUUGUGCUCCUGCUAUUAAUCUAAUAGAGAUACGGAAGUGGGCGAAAGAAAAGAAGCUGCUCUUCUGGCAAUAAGGAACAAUCCUGAGAUCAAAUUACACAUUUGUGUAAUUGGAGGCCUACUCCAAAUUACACAUUUCUUCAUAUGGUUUGGCUAAACAGUUGAAGUUGAGAGUAGACCCUGACUCUAUCUCUUAGGAAUUAGAAUCAUUUAUAAUCCCUGUUUCUUUUGACUAGUUCUGCCAGUUGAUGAUAAGAUGUAAGACAAAAUGAGAUAAAAAUAAAACAGAAUUUUUAAAAAACUAUUGUGAGUUUAAGAUCUAGUAAAAUACUGUUGGUGGUCUUCUAGAAUCUAGUUAAAUAAAAAAAAAUAAAUAAAAUUCUUAGAAAUAUAAGAUAUCAACAUUUUUUUAAACAAAAGAACAAUGGAAGAUCCA